CAGUGUACCCGCGGCAAGACGGAAAGACCCCGUGAACCUUUACUAUAGCUUGACACUGAACAUUGAGCCUUGAUGUGUAGGAUAGGUGGGAGGCUUUGAAGUGUGGACGCCAGUCUGCAUGGAGCCGGCCUUGAAAUACCACCCUUUAAUGUUUGAUGUUCUAACGUUGACCCGUGAUCCGGGUUGCGGACAGUGUCUGGUGGGUAGUUUGACUGGGGCGGUCUCCUCCUAAAGAGUAACGGAGGAGCACGAAGGUUGGCUAAUCCUGGUCGGACAUCAGGAGGUUAGUGCAAUG
rnacentral:rRNA from 1 species